rnacentral:rRNA from 1 species
CCCUUAGAUGUUCUGGGCUGCACGCGCGCUACACUGAUGCGAUCAACAAGUUUUUCCUAUGUCGAUAGACACGGGUAAUCUUUUGAACUUGCAUCGUGAUGGGGAUAGAUUAUUGUAAUUAUUAAUCUUCAACGAGGAAUUCCUAGUAGGUGCAAAUCAUCAGUUUGCAUCGAUUACGUCCCUGCCCUUUGUACACACCGCCCGUCGCUGCUACCGAUUGGUUGAUCUGGUGAAUUAUUCGGACUGCCGGCUGAAGGGGUUUCCUCAUCUGCCAGCGGAAAGUCUUGUUAACCCUAUCAACUAGAGGAAGCAGAAGUCGUAACA